AAUCACUUUCACUCUGUUGUAGUUGUUGAAACCCGGAACCAGGAGAGGAACUCCUCCUCAAGCUGAGCCAUCCCCCUUCCGCCCCUUAGGUUGAGAAUUGAGGUGCCCUUGUGCUAGCGCCUUGCUUGUGGUGUUUUGUUAAAAGAGCCUAGCCCAGAUGAUGAUGCCCCCCUUCAGAGCAGGAACCGAUCCCUCUUACUUGUUGCUGUAGUAGUUUUGAACUGUACUUUUGAAGAGUCUUAGCUUGGCAAGUUGUUAAGCCCCCUUCUUAUACUUUUGGAUGACUGUACCAAAC